UACAGAGGGGGCAAGCGUUAUUCGGAAUUAUUGGGCGUAAAGGGCGCGUAGGCGGCCUGGCAAGUGGAUGGUGAAAUCCCUCGGCUUAACCGAGGAACUGCCAUCCAGACUGCUUGGCUUGAGACCGGGAGAGGUGAGUGGAAUUCCCAGUGUAGCGGUGAAAUGCGUAGAUAUUGGGAGGAGCACCAGUGGCGAAGGCGGCUCACUGGACCGGUACUGACGCUGAUGCGCGAAAGCGUGGGGAGCAAACGGG
rnacentral:rRNA from 1 species